CCUACGGGUGGCAGCAGUCGGGAAUAUUGCGCAAUGGAGGAAACUCUGACGCAGUGACGCCGCGUAUCGGAAGAAGGUUUUCGGAAUGUAAACUCUUGUCGUUAGGGAAGAGAAAGGACAGUACCUAAGGAGGAAGCUCCGGCUAACUACGUGCCAGCAGCCGCGGUAAUACGUCGGUGGCAAGCGUUGUCCGGAUUUAUUGGGAGGAAAGGGCGUGUAGGCGGGAAGGCAAGUCAGAUGUGAAAUCUGGAGGCUCAACCUCCAAAUUGAAGUUGAAACUGUUUUUCUAGAGUACUGGAGAGGUAGACGGAAUUCCUUGUGUAGCGGUGAAAUGCGUAGAGAUAAGGAGGAACACCAGUGGCGAAGGCGAUCGGCUGGACAGCAACUGACGGUGAGGCGCGAAAGCGUGGGGAGCAAACAGGAUUAGAUACCCUAGUAGUC
rnacentral:rRNA from 1 species